rnacentral:rRNA from 1 species
AGAGUUUGAUCCUGGCUCAGAACGAACGUUGGCGGCGUGGAUUAGGCAUGCAAGUCGAACGAAUCCCGGUAGCAAUAUCGGGGGAAGUGGCGAAAGGGGCAGUAAGGCGUGGGUAACCUACCCCGGGGACGGGCAUAGCCCUCCUAACGGAGGGGUAAUUCCUGGCGAUGUGGUCGAGGGGCAUCUCUUGGCCAUGAAAUGAAUUUCGCCUCGGGAGGGGCUCACGUGGUAUCAGCUAGUUGGUGAGGUAACGGCUCACCAAGGCUACGACGUCUAGCAGGUGUGAGAGCACGACCUGCGCCACUGGCACUGAGACACUGGCCAGACUCCUACGGGAGGCUGCAGUCGAGGAUCUUCGGCAAUGGGCGCAAGCCUGACCGAGCGACGCCGCGUGUGCGAUGAAGGCCUUCGGGUUGUAAAGCACUGUCGAGGGGGAGGAAGCCGCAAGGUUGACCUAUCCCUGGAGGAAGCACGGGCUAAGUUCGUGCCAGCAGCCGCGGUAAU